GAUGAACGCUGGCGGCGUGCCUAAUACAUGCAAGUCGAGCGAACAGACGAGGAGCUUGCUCCUCUGACGUUAGCGGCGGACGGGUGAGUAACACGUGGAUAACCUACCUAUAAGACUGGGAUAACUUCGGGAAACCGGAGCUAAUACCGGAUAAUAUAUUGAACCGCAGGGUUCAAGAGUGAAAGAGGGUUUUGCUGUCACUUAAAGGUGGACCCGGCCCGCAUUAGCUGGUUGGUAGGGAACGGGCUCACCAAGGAACCGUGGGGAACCCGCCCGAGAGGGGGAUACCGCCCACUGGAACUGGGGCACGGUCCACACUCCCACGGGCGGGCGCAGUAGGGAAUCUUCCGCGAUGGGCGAAAGGCUGACGGAGCAACCCCGCGUGAGUGAUGAAGGUCUUCGGAUCGUAAAACUCUGUUAUUAGGGAAGAACAAAUGUGUAAGUAACUAUGCACGUCUUGACGGUACCUAAUCAGAAAGCCACGGCUAACUACGUG
rnacentral:rRNA from 1 species